ACAAACGGGGCUGAAAGAAGUGACCCUGAGUGGGGAUUCCCCACUGGUGUGCAUUCUCAGCAGCUAACAUUCAGUGUGGAGAGCAGCACCCUCCCCUCCAGCUUUUGGGAACAGAAAUAGAGGAAGCGUUGCAGGCACAACGUCUCACAUCAGCAGAUCCUCUGGGUUCAAGCCAACCACCAACAACCACCUAUACUUUAAGAAUGAACAAAUAGAGAAAAAUCAACGGACAUAUGAAAAAGCAUCAGUCCUUCAUCAGAAAGAGAUUUAAAGAAUCAGAGCAAAAAUCUCCCAAUGAAUCCAACUUACUACACAGAACUAGAGUGUCUGAGUUUCAUGUCCUCCUUAGAAAAUUUUUCCAACAAUAAAAUUUUUCAUCAUGC
rnacentral:lncRNA from 1 species